UCAACGUGGGCAGGUAAGAUAUUCCCCGUAAUCCCUCUUCCCACGAUUAAUCUUUCCACUUAUCUGUCUCCCCUUCCUAAAGGGAUUCCUGUUUGGACGUGGUUGCCCAGCGAACCUGCCUAAAAAAACCGCCUAUCCCUAAUCAGCGGGAAAGAAAAAAAAAUCAUAAUCUCUCCUUCGCCGCCGCAUGAUCCUCGCCUGCUUCACGUGAUAGUCACGCCGGGCCCAAUCAAAUCCCACCCCGCCGGCUAUCCUCGUGCUGUUCUUGCCGGUGACCAUCAGGCAAGAUUCCAGACCCAGUCAAAUCUCACGUUGUCGGCCAUCCUCACGCUGUUCUUGCCAGAGAUCUUCAGGCGCACUGACGUGAGAACACACGAUGGGAAACCUGUACUCGGAAGCUCUAUUCUCAGGAUCUCAAUUUUAAUCCCAGCCAACUCUCAGAUUGAAAGAAAAACGAUUCACGUGGUUCUAGCUGUACAUGUGGUGUCAGUGCAGGAGGCAUCAAGGUCAGGUUUGAAGUAAUCAAGUAACAACGUUAAGGAUGUCGCCAAGGGCCUCUGGAUGACCUGAAAAUAAGGAGGAGAUAUUCAAUACAGAGUUAGAGGUGCAAUCACUGCAUCAGGGUUUGGAGAGUAAUUGGGUGUGCUACUGUGUAGCACCAGAUCAAGGAAAUCACACGGAUACGUCUAGGCGAAGAUUUUUGCUCUUUUUUGGGGGAAUCUUGCAAUCUUUGAGUACAGGGCUAUUGCUUGGUUGCAGUGGGAACGAUCUAAUUAUUGUCAUACAAUCUGCAUGUACAAUCUUCUACCAAACCAUCGCUCAUUGUGGUGUAUUCUCUCCUUAGUCGACAUAACAAAAACCGAGUCCUGGGCACUAGAAAGAGAAAGGUCGUCGGUGAAGAGAUAAAAGAUGACACUUACUCAGGACUGUGGUGGAUAAUGCAGAGGUUUCAAACGGUCAACCUGAGCCAUGGGAGAAGGACCUGUAUGGCCAAUAUGCAUGCCCCAUAAACAACACAACUUGAAUCUCAUCAUUAGAGACAAGGCCAAGGACGAGAUUGAUCUUUUACUAAGGUACUAACAUUUUCGUUUGCUGCAUACACAGAAAUAAGGGUCCAAUAUUUUUGUAAACUAAAGAGACCACCCUACCUGUUUGUUUGUAACAAUAACUGAUAAUUACAGAUGUAGCAGACAUGUAAACUGCAGGUGCAGGCAUGUAAACUAGAGAAAAGGAGGAAUGUCCUUAAGUGUUAUUAGUCAUAAAAUAUACUUGCAUGUUAUUAAAUUAUUCUCUUACACUGGUUUGUGAGCCUAUACUGACCUAGGUUGCUGCACGUACGAUUAGCACUAUAUAUUCAAGUUUUCACAUGAUAGCUCUUUCCUGGCUUCAAACUAAUUGAAGUAUUUUUCAUAAACCUCAAAUAAUUUGUUUAGCCUAUUUCCAGCCUGUAUAUCUCCUCCAUGCCUCAAUACACAUGUACCUUGCUAGCUAAGGGCAAAGAAACGUUGCCAGGCAGACCACCAUCCAAUUUGCUGUUCUUGAUCAUCAUCGUUAUGGGGUUUGGACGAAACCACGGAAACAUGAGAAAGGCCGUACAAGCAUGUAAUUUCUACAUUUGUCAUUUAUUUGUCACAUAUUUACCAUGAUAUGAUUUGAUUUGAUUUCUUCUGUAUGUUCAUAGCCGGGUUCUUAUUUUUGACAAUAGCAACUACGCCCAUCAUGUCAUGUGACAAUUCAAUUGCAGGGCUUCGAUGAAGAUAUAUAUACCACCCGAUCUAUUUAUUCCUCAUCGCGUUGUAUUCAUUUAUUUCUCUGUAUGGACA